UACGAGGGGGGCAAGCGUUGUUCGGAAUUAUUGGGCGUAAAGGGUGCGUAGGCGGUUUUGUAAGUCUUGUGUGAAAGCCCCGAGCUCAACUUGGGAAUGGCAUUGGAAACUGGCGGGCUGGAGUGUGGCAGAGGGGGGUGGAAUUCCACGUGUAGCAGUGAAAUGCGUAGAGAUGUGGAGGAACACCGAUGGCGAAGGCAGCCCCCUGGGCCAACACUGACGCUCAGGCACGAAAGCGUGGGGAGCAAACAGG
rnacentral:rRNA from 1 species